AGGGCGAAGAGACCAAAAGCCUGACCCUGGUCCUGCACCGCGACGCUGGCUCCCUCGGCUUCAACAUCAUCGGGGGACGGCCGUGUGCGGACCACCAGGAUGGCUCGUCCAGUGAAGGAAUCUUCGUGUCCAGGAUCGUGGACAGCGGGCCGGCGGCCAAGGACGGGGGCCUGCAGAUCCACGACCGCAUCGUGGAGGAAAGGAACUAGAAAUGAUCCGAUGUGGUCACAGUCUUUCAGGCCAUCCUAUCGAGUUACACAAGUCCGAGUGUUUGCACAGGGAUGGAGCCUGCCCAGCUUGGAGGUUUCCUGUGCGUUAGGGAGCUAACGUUUCCAGGACCACACUUCCGAGCAGCGACGUCUCCUCGUCUCCUCUCCUCGCAGCCUCGGGAGCUAGGG